rnacentral:lncRNA from 1 species
UAUAUAUUUAUUACAUAUAAUUAAAUGUAUAUAUGUAAAGGCCGUCUAUUAUACUCUUAUGAGUAUAGACUUCUUUAUCAUAAUAAGUUUUCGAACGUUAGAUAUACCCUUUUGACCAUUUCACCCAUUAAAUCAUAUUAUUCAACCAACCAUCCACUCAACCCUAAGUGAUCACUAUCAUCCUAACUGCACAUCUCUUUAUCCAUUGGCCGAAAACUUAUGAAUACAAAAAGAUCGAUAUUCAUAAGAGUAUAAUAAUCUUCUAUAUGUACCAAGUGCUUGAUGCUAUCAGGUUUUCGGCCCUUGUAUGAAGGGAUCUGUGGUUAGGAUGAUAGUGAUCCCCUAUAGUUGAGCGCAUAGUUAAUUGAAUAGUAUAAUCUAAUGAUCAAAGGGAUAGAUCUAAUGGCGGAAAACUAAAGAGCAUCAAACAUAUGAUACUAUCGAUAAUAUAUAUAUAUAUAUAUAUAUAUAUAUAGUUGAACUAGAAUACUUGUAAAAGUAUCACCUAAGUGAUACUUGUGUAUUUUUAGUCCUUGGAUGGAGAGAUGUGAGGUUGAGAUGAUGGUGGUAGGUGGUGGUAGGUGGUGUUAGGUGGAAUAGUGUUUGAUUCAAGGACUAUUAGUAAUCAAAAAGUAGAUUCAAUGGUUAAAAACACACAAGUAUCACUUGGGUGAUACUUGUAAAAGUAUUCUAGCCCUAAUAUAUAUAUAUA